AUGGCUGCCUACGCGGUCGGGUGCGGCCGGGACGUGAACACGUCCGUCCGCGUCGUGGACCUGGCAGGCGGCAUCCUGGUCUGCGUCGUCGUCCAUAUCGUCUCCUUCACGCUCAAGACCACCAGGACGGAGAAGCGGGAGCUGCUCAAGAAGAAGCGCAAGCUGCUGCUGCUGUUCGCCAUCCUGGUCGUCACCAUCACGUACCAAGCUGGGCUCACUCCACCGGGCGGCUUCUGGCUCGACGAUGAUGGCGGGCACGCCGCUGGUCACGCGGUACUUGCCAGCAACUACCCUCGCCGUUACUCCACCUUCUUCUAUUGCAACGCGGCGAGCUUCAUGUCCUCGGUGGUAAUCAUCCUCCUGCUGGUGAACCCGCACAUGCAUGUGUUGGAAAAAAUAAGUGAUUAA
rnacentral:rRNA from 1 species